CUCCAGAAAUUACCACGUCCACGCCUUUUUCCCGCCGUUGGUCAAAAUUUCCCUCCCUCUUUGUUUUUAGCCUGUUACCCCCACCGUCGCCGCGCCGCUGGCCGAUGAUUAUUCCCGCUGCCAUUAACGCCCUCAAAUCCUCAAGGUCAAUUUCUUGGACGCCGACGGGUAGGCUUCAGCAGACCUUGGCGGGAUGUCUGGAGCUGAGUGGAAUGGCUCUGCACUCGGGCAAGGUUUCGAAGGUGAAAUUGUGUCCGGAUUUUGCGGGCAGAGGGAGGUAUUUUGAUUUCAAGUCUCGUUUCAUUCCUGCAUCUAUUGAUUUUGCCGAAGAGUCGCCUCUUUGUACCACGCUCUCUAAGGAUGGGGUUAAAGUUCGAACGGUUGAGCACUUGCUUUCCGCGCUGGAGGCCAUGGGGGUCGACAAUUGCAGGAUUGAGAUAGAAAAUGUGGAUGCUGAAGACAGUGAAGUCGAGGUUCCAAUCUUUGAUGGUUCUGCGGGUGAAUGGGUGGAUGCAAUAGAGAAGGUCGGUCUUAGGUUGGCUGUUGACCAGUGUGGCAAUUGUUGUGAGAAAAUGGCACCAUCGGUAAAUGAACCCGUCCAUGUGUGGAGGAAUGACUGUUUUCUUGUUGCUUUCCCAGCUGAAGCAGUUCGCAUCACUUAUGGAAUUGACUUUCCUCAGGUGCCUGUCAUUGGCUGCCAGUGGUUUUAUACUGCCCCUUUGGACAGCAUGUUCUAUGUCAAACAGAUAGCUCCGUCAAGAACCUUUUGCAUUUACGAAGAGGUAGAGCAAAUGCGUAAUAUGGGACUCAUAAAAGGAGGCUCUACAGAAAAUGCUUUAGUUUGUAGUGCCAGUAGAGGUUGGAUCAAUCCCCCAUUGCGUUUCCAUGAUGAACCCUGUCGCCACAAGGUUUUAGAUCUUAUUGGCGACCUCUCACUUUUUGCACGGUUUGGUAGUCAAGGGCUUCCGAUGGCACACAUAGUGGUUUACAAGGGUGGUCAUGCUAUGCAUGCCAAUUUUGUACACCGCCUAUCGGAAGUCAUUUGAGAGGAUGAGUAGCUGUCUUUCCUUGUAGGAGUGUAAGAAUUUUCUGCAAUUGAGCAGCAUAAAAGGAACCAGCAGCCAAACGUUAUGGCUGCAUAUCAGGAAGCGGAUCUCCAGCUGGAUUCCUCCAUUGUAGUCAUCCGGCGGUUCUUCCAUGAUGAUUGGUUUAAGAUUACCAGAGCCCUUCAAACACAUAUAAGCACUCUUUGUACUCUUAACCCUUUCACUACUGACAAGGCUCUCCUCCGAUGUGAAAACAGAGAAUUACUGUUUUCCUGCAAAAACCUCAACUUUGAGUUCUUCGCAGGAGUCCACAAGUUUCUCAGUUUAUUCUACCUUCAUCAGUUGACACUCGAAUGCAUGCACGUCGAGGAGGACGAU